rnacentral:rRNA from 1 species
AACAGUUGCUAAGGCUGGAUAGGAAAUAAAAAGGCAUCUUUUUAUUUUUAAAAGACCUUUUUCGGAAGGUAUGCUUAAAGAGGGGCUUGCGUCACAUUAGUUAGUUGGUAGGGUAAAGGCCUACCAAGACGAUGAUGUGUAGCUGGACUGAGAGGUUGAACAGCCACAUUGGGACUGAGACACGGCCCAAACUCCUACGGGAGGCAGCAGUAGGGAAUUUUCGGCAAUGGAGGAAACUCUGACCGAGCAACGCCGCGUGAACGACGAAGUACUUCGGUAUGUAAAGUUCUUUUAUUGAAGAAGAAACAAUAGUGGAAAAACUAUCUUGACGUUAUUCAAUGAAUAAGCCCCGGCUAACUAUGUGCCAGCAGCCGCGGUAAUACAUAGGGGGCGAGCGUUAUCCGGAAUUAUUGGGCGUAAAGGGUGCGUAGGCGGUUUAAUAAGUCUCUAGUUUAAUUUCAACGCUUAACGUUGUCCUGCUAGAGAAACUGUUUAACUAGAGUGAGAUAGAGGUAAGCGGAAUUCCAUGUGUAGCGGUAAAAUGUGUAAAUAUAUGGAGGAACACCAGAGGCGUAGGCGGCUUACUGGGUCUUUACUGACGCUGAUGCACGAAAGCGUGGGGAGCAAACAGGAUUAGAUACCCUGGUAGUCCACGCCGUAAACUAUGAGUACUAAGUGUCGGGGUUAAACUCGGUACUGAAGUUAACACAUUAAGUACUCCGCCUGAGUAGUACGUACGCAAGUAUGAAACUUAAAGGAAUUGACGGGAUCCCGCACAAGCGGUGGAUCAUGUUGUUUAAUUCGAAGAUACACGAAAAACCUUACCAGGUCUUGACAUACUCUGCAAAGCUAUAGAAAUAUAGUGGAGGUUAUCAGGGAUACAGGUGGUGCAUGGUUGUCGUCAGCUCGUGUCGUGAGAUGUUAGGUUAAGUUCUAAAACGAGCGCAACCCCUGUCGUUAAUUGCCAGCACGUUAUGGUGGGGACUUUAGCGAGACUGCCAAUGAAAAAUUGGAGGAAGGUGGGGAUUACGUCAAAUCAUCAUGCCCCUUAUGAUCUGGGCUACAAACGUGAUACAAUGGCUAUUACAAAGAGUAGCUGAAACGCGAGUUUUCGGCAAAUCUCAAAAAAAUAGUCUCAGUUCGGAUUGAAGUCUGCAACUCGACUUCAUGAAGUUGGAAUCGCUAGUAAUCGCGAAUCAGCAUGUCGCGGUGAAUACGUUCUCGGGGUUUGUACACACCGCCCGUCAAA